rnacentral:misc_RNA from 1 species
UGAUUGGCUCCUUCUCAAUGGGCACAGUAUUCUUCGUUUCUCCAGUAGCUGGAGUACUUACUGAUUAUAUCGGCAUCAGACGGACCACUUUCUUGGGCGGCGCCAUAGCUUCUGGUGGCAUGUUACUAUCUUCUUUCUUCAUAGACGAUAUAGUCAUCAUGUGUAUUACGUAUGGAGUUAUGUAUGGGCUAGGAGGAGCCUUAAUGUACACACCCUCACUGGCGAUUCUAGGACACUACUUUAAGAAAUAUUUAGGAAAAGUAAAUGGAUUCGUAACAGCUGGCAGUUCGGUGUUUACGAUAGCAAUGCCAUAUUUGAUAGACGUAUUUUUGAAAAAUUUUGGGAUAGAAUGGACCCUGAGGUUUUUAGCCAUAAAAUCGAGUUUCAUUAUGCUGUUCGCCUUCCUAUUUAAGCCAGUAACUACAACUAGUUCAACCAAAAAGAAGCAAAUAUCAUUUCGCAGUAUUUUUAACCUUGCGUUACUGAAAAAUUUCAAAUAUGUCGUCUGGGUGUCGACGAUCGCAUUUUCAUUAUUCGGCUAUUUCGUACCUUACGUCUAUAUGCCGAAACUUGUGAAGGAGAAAUUUGAAGAUGGCUCUGAUACUAAGCUGCCCAUAAUGUGUAUUGGAAUAGCAUCAGGUAUUGGAAGACUUAUUUUUGGCUAUAUAGCUGAUUUGCCAAAAGUAAACAGGAUAUACAUGCAACAGCUCAGUUUCUUUAGCAUAGGUCUCAUGACUAUGCUAUUGCCUUUCACUGUUGGACACUAUGCAUGGCUGGUUGUCAUUACGUUAGCCAUGGGGCUUUUUGACGGCUGCUUUAUUUCUCUCUUAGGUCCCAUUGCAUUUGAUCUCUGCGGCCGAGAAGGGGCUACCCAAGCCAUCGGUUUCCUGUUAGGGCUAUGUUCAAUUCCUCUAACACUCGGACCAUAUGUUGCUGGUCUAAUUAUCGACAGCCAGCAUACUUAUACGCUACCAUUCGUAUUGGCUGGCAUCCCACCUGUGAUAGGCUCAGUAGUAAUGUUUGUGAUAAAAUGUUCAGAAGCCCCAAAAUCGAAUGUUUCCAUAUACAGAACGAAUUUUGUGAAAGAAGAACCAUAUGAAAAAGAAACACUGGCCAAGCAAGAAGAGGACGUCAUGUAGUUAAAGUCAAUCAGAUAAUUGUCUCGAGAAAGAAUAUUUGCUUUCACUUAUUCUGCUAAUUGAGCUUUUCAGGGUAAUAUUUUGGAAACUUGCAGCAAUUAUGAAUCUUUUUAAACGAGGGAUCGUAUUUGAUCAUUUUUAUACAUGCAAUUAUGAAAUGCAUAUUAUUUAUUUUUAAAACGGUUUUAAUUAAAACAUUAUUUGUAGUCCUAAUUAAUUAAGUCUAAAAUAUAGUUAUAUGUGAUACAUGUAGGUAUAUUCUUAAGUCACAAAAGAAAUCUUAAUUUUUUUCGUACUCUUUCUAAUUUGAACAUUUCACGUUGUCGUGAAUAAAUCUCUCGUGAAUGAAAAUGUGAUUAAAUGGAGACCAUGGCUAAGAAGAAGCGUAGAAAGAUCUUAACAAA